rnacentral:tRNA from 1 species
CAUAUAUAAAGUUUAUUACUUUUGUUAGAAAAUAUAUUAAAUAAA